GAGUUUGAUCAUGGCUCAGAUUGAACGCUGGCGGCAUGCCUAACACAUGCAAGUCGAACGCGAAAGCUCCUUCGGGAGUGAGUAGAGUGGCGGACGGGUGAGUAACGCGUGGGAAUCUGCCCAGUAGUUGGGGACAACUCGGGGAAACUCGAGCUAAUACCGAAUACGCCCUACGGGGGAAAGAUGGCCUCUACUUGUAAGCUAUCGCUAUUGGAUGAGCCCGCGUCGGAUUAGCUAGUUGGUGAGGUAAGAGCUCACCAAGGCGACGAUCCGUAGCUGGUCUGAGAGGAUGAUCAGCCACACUGGGACUGAGACACGGCCCAGACUCCUACGGGAGGCAGCAGUGGGGAAUAUUGGACAAUGGGGGCAACCCUGAUCCAGCAAUGCCGCGUGUGUGAAGAAGGCCUGCGGGUUGUAAAGCACUUUCAGAAGUGAAGAGGGGCGAGUCAGCUAAUACCUGUCUCGUUUGACAUUAGCUUCAGAAGAAGCACCGGCUAACUCCGUGCCAGCAGCCGCGGUCA
rnacentral:rRNA from 1 species